UGCAGUUUAGCUCAGGUUUUAUUUUACUUCUUGCUGAUGUGUUCAUUGAAGCUCAAGUCUGACCUUUAGAAAUUUUAUUAGGUUGUCAUGUCACUGCAGAAACAGCCAUCGGAGGAGGAGGCCUUUGGAGGAAGUGCUGAGAUCAGUCCCAAGCACUUGACCAAGGCACUGGCCAAGGACGGUGUCAGCAGAAGGUGAAUUUUGCAGAUGAUCUGGAAGCGAACAUACCUCGAACUGAGUUGUUUUGAAGCUCUUGGGUGCUUUCAGAUUCUCCUAUAAUCAUUGGGAAGUGAAGUUUACAAUCUGUAAGGAGCCGAAGCAGUACCAUGUGAUUUGGCUAACAGUACAGAGGAAUUCAAAAAUACUUGUUUGCUGAGGACUUCUGGUUGAGUUGAAUUUACAACCCCUUAAAAGAGAUGCCUGUCUUGAGGACAAGAAUAGCAGGGUAUUUUCGGAAGCCUGAGUAUAAUUAAAGCAUUUCAGAUUGGAUGCUCAAGCAUGGAAGCCCCUGAAGUCUUCUGUUUCUGGGAUCUUCUGACAGAAGUUCUCCUGAAACUGGAAGAUUAGCCAAGCUUUUAAGUGAGUACUGAAUUCAUGGACUCAUCCUGGCUGGUGGGUUGGUGUGCCAUUUUGGUAUUUUGUGCUUUAGCCUAUGUGGGGUCUGUAUAGUCAAAGAACUGGAGCACUGAUUCUCAGCAAGUGCACUUGUUUGAAAAAUGAAAAGGCUUCUUUUAGAUGUGGGCUGGGAUUCAGCAACUUUUGCAGUCCUUAGGCGAAGAGGAAUCUUUCUUUGCAUAUUUUAUGUCAUGUUCAUUUGUUGCUUGUCAGAAUUCUUGGAGGAGUUGGCUCUUAGACUGAAGUGUCGCUGGUUAACUUCAAUCGUGACUUUUCAACUUUAUUAUGCUUCAGGGGAGAAAAAAGCAGAAUCUGC